AACGAACGCUGGCGGCAGGCUUAACACAUGCAAGUCGAACGCAUCGCAAGAUGAGUGGCAGACGGGUGAGUAACGCGUGGGAACAUACCCUUUUCUACGGAAUAGCUCUGGGAAACUGGAAUUAAUACCGUAUACGCCCUACGGGGGAAAGAUUUAUCGGGGAAGGAUUGGCCCGCGUUGGAUUAGCUAGUUGGUGGGGUAAAGGCCUACCAAGGCGACGAUCCGUAGCUGGUCUGAGAGGAUGAUCAGCCACAUUGGGACUGAGACACGGCCCAAACUCCUACGGGAGGCAGCAGUGGGGAAUAUUGGACAAUGGGCGCAAGCCUGAUCCGGCCAUGCCGCGUGAGUGAUGAAGGCCUUAGGGUUGUAAAGCUCUUUCACCGAUGAAGAUAAUGACGGUAGUCGGAGAAGAAGCCCCGGCUAACUACGUGCCAGCCGCCGCCGUAACAC
rnacentral:rRNA from 1 species